AAUCAACGCUGGCGGCGUGCCUCAGACAUGCAAGUCGAACGAUUAAACUUUCCUUCGGGAAAGAUAUAAAGUGGCGCACGGGUGAGUAACACGUAAGUAAUCUACCUUCGAGUGGGGAAUAACAUCGGGAAACCGAUGCUAAUACCGCAUAAUGCAGCGGCAUCUAAUGAUGACAGUUGUUAAAGAUUCAUCGCUUGAAGAGGAGCUUGCGGCAGAUAGCUAGUUGGUAAGGUAAUGGCUUACCAAGGCUACGAUCUGUAACCGGUCUAAGAGGACGGUCGGUCACACUGACACUGAAUAACGGGUCAGACUCCUACGGGAGGCAGCAGUCGGG
rnacentral:rRNA from 1 species